rnacentral:sRNA from 1 species
CCCGGUGCGCGGGUAUGGCGGCCAGCCUGUGGAUGGGCGACCUGGAACCCUACAUGGAUGAGAACUUCAUCUCCAGAGCCUUUGCCACCAUGGGGGAGACCGUAAUGAGCGUCAAAAUUAUCCGAAACCGCCUCACUGGGUAAGUCUCAUUUCAGGUCUCUCUUAAUACAUCUCGUUGCAGCUGUCAUGUACGAGAAUGUAAACAUCGUAGUCAUGGCUUCUCACUACCCCUAGUAAUAGUCACUGUAAAAUUAUAACAGCUAACAUUUUGAGGUCCCAAUGAGUGGAAGGAUGGCAUGUAGCUUAAGGGUAGGACUUGCCAGGCGUUGUGACUCACGCCUGUAAUCCCAGCACUUUGGGAGGCUGAGGUGGGUGGAUCACCUGAGGUCAGGAGUUUGAGACCAGCCUGGCCAACAUGGUGAAACCCCGUCUCUACUAAAAAUACAAAAA